CCAUUAGCUUGUUGGUGAGGUAACGGCUCACCAAGGCUGUGAUGGCUAGCUGGUCUGAGAGGAUGACCAGCCACACUGGGACUGAGACAGGCCCAGACUCCUACGGGAGGCAGCAGUGGGGAAUAUUGCGCAAUGGGCGAAAGCCUGACGCAGCGACGCCGCGUGGGUGAUGAAGGCCUUCGGGUCGUAAAGCCCUGUCGCAGGGGAAGAAUAAGCAUCGGUAUAAUACGCCGGUGCCCUGACGGUACCCUGCAAGAAAGCACCGGCUAACUCCGUG
rnacentral:rRNA from 1 species